GGUAUUUCUUCCAAGACGACUACGACCAUCAGUAUACCUACUCCUCUGUGUCGGAACUGUUCGGCCAUAAAAAUAUCACCACUGUUCUGAAGUUCAAGAUCAGAGCCCUCAGUACGACAGAGGAUGGCGGGAGACUGCAUUCGUUACGUGUGAUCAGUAUUGUGCAGUUUGCAAAUGGCAGAUACUUCAGUAACCCAAAAG